UUAACGCACCUUCUCCCUGCAGGCGCUCUGACCAAGGUGAAGGAGAGCCGGCGGCACGUGGAGGAGGGGAAGAUGGAGGCGCAGAAGGCCGAGGGCAUCCAGGCCCGCUGCAACACCAUCUCCUUCGCCACGCUGGCCGAGAUCCACCACUUCCACCAGGUCCGCGUGCGCGACUUCAAGUCCCAGAUGCAGCACUUCCUGCAGCAGCAGAUCAUAUUUUUCCAGAAAGUGACGCAGAAGCUGGAGGAGGCUCUUCACAAGUACGACAGCGUCUAGUGCCGGGCGCGCACGGGGCGCUCCAGUCCAAGGGUGAUCUCCGCAGCGGAGCACAGAUGCUCAGCGCUGCCGCUGCUCCGCGGGCACAGGCCGCUCUGUGCCUGCAGCCGGGCCGGCUGUGUGCUGGCGCCGGGCGGUGCCGCAUCGUAGCUGUUACACUAUGUACGCCUACACUACCAUGUCGUGGGGAUACGAUUAUACUCUUUGCCUUAUUGUUUUCUGGAGGAUGGGUCUUCCGUGCAGACUUGGCAGACCUCAGAGCCCCGCGGGGUCUCGGGGAGCCCGGGCCAGCCUGCCCAUGCCUUUCCCGCCCACAGACUGGGGUCCCCGAAAUUCAGCCUGUUCUCUGUUUACAAACUCCGACGAGAGCAGCUGUGCGACUUCGUGCCUUUAGACUCGGGUUUUCAUUUCCCCGCCCCCUUUAUAAAGUAACAGGACUUUUUGAUCGAAAGAGCGAAAGGCCAGUGGGUCCAGGGAUGGGCUGCUGGUGACUGCACGUGGCGCUGGGCGGGCGGACGGGCGGGCGGGAGGGUCAGCUGGUACCGGCCGACGUGUGAGCGCGGCAGAGGGGCUGUGCUCCUCCGGGACUUGCGGUCCUUUGGGGAGGCGAUGGGCACUCUGCUCCCUUAGGUGCUCCGUGUGGCCUCCCUCCCGCGUCCUGGAGGCCUGUGUGUGGGGCACACGCGCCCCGCUCACCACGGAGGCAGGGGCCGGCCCGCGGGACAAGCACAGAUUCGGUGAGGACACGCUCGGCUCUGCCUAGGAGGGUUUCUUUCUUUCCUUUUUAGCUUGAAGAUUUCUUUUCCUGUUCAGUGUGAUUUUUUUUAAUGGAUCCACACUGUUAACCGAUCGAGACUCCACUGUGAUUCACUCACUCGUUUACUUAAUCGACCACUUUUCAGGGAUGUCUGUAAGUUCAGUGUUACACGUGAUGCAGAUAGCGUUGAUCUGAGGAGGGACCAGAAGUAAUUCUAUUCCAGAUGCUGAAAGCAAGAAGAAUUGUUAUUUUUAAGUACUGAUAAGCCCCAGGACAUUUAACAUUAAAAAUUACCGUAAAUAUAUUCUUUUAAAGAAAAUACAAAGGCUGACGCAUACCAAAAAGAUUCCCAAGCAGCUUCACUUAAAAAAGCACAAAGAUUCUGGCUGGAAGCGCCCGGAUCUCCAUGUUUUUCGUCCUUGCUGAGCUCAGUAACGUGUGGGUGCGUUCAGAGAUGCGACUGUCACUGAGGUGGCGGCACCUGCUGCGUGUAGGAAGGGAGACAGACGCGGCCGCGGGAGCCUGUGCAUCAGCGUGGAGCAGAAGCGAGGCCAGCGUGACAUGCUGCCUGGACACGACUGGGUCUCAGAGGCUGGUGCUCAGGCCGCGGUGGGCAGGGCUUGAUGAUACGGACUAAAGGUGAAGGCGCCGGGAGUGCACGCUCGUGCUGCCACCUGGAGGACUGCGGUGCCUCAUGGCGAACACACCCCGAGCCGCUGGUCCUCGGCGGCUUCAGGUAACUGCGCUCGGACCCCGGAGUUCCCGUGCUCAUUUCCCCCCGAGUCCUCACUUCUCUAACGUUCUUGGUCCUGUUGACACAUUUCAGUAUAAAAGAUACUGCGAUGUGAAUGCCCAAGAGAAAAGCCAUCAUAAUGUGUACGCUGGUCAUGGAGAUCAGUGUGGUACCGCUUUUUAAAAUAAACUAUCAUGCCCUUCA